rnacentral:rRNA from 1 species
GAUGAACGCUGGCGGCGUGCCUAACACAUGCAAGUCGAACGGAGUAAUUAUUAUGAAGUUUUCGGAUGGAUUAAUAAUUACUUAGUGGCGGACGGGUGAGUAACGCGUGGGUAACCUGCCUCAUACAGGGGGAUAACAGCUGGAAACGGCUGCUAAAACCGCAUAACAUUGCGACGUCGCAUGGCGAUGCAAUUAAAUAUUUAUAGGUAUGAGAUGGGCCCGCGUCUGAUUAGCUAGUUGGUGAGGUAAUGGCUCACCAAGGCGACGAUCAGUAGCCGGCUUGAGAGAGUGACCGGCCACAUUGGGACUGAGACACGGCCCAAACUCCUACGGGAGGCAGCAGUGGGGAAUAUUGCACAAUGGGGGAAACCCUGAUGCAGCGACGCCGUGUGAGUGAAGGAGUAUUUCGGUAUGUAAAGCUCUAUCAGCAGGGAAGAAAAUGACGGUACCUGACUAAGAAGCCCCGGCUAACUACGUGCCAGCCGCCGCAGUAA